GGCUUCGUAGUACAAAGGAUAGUACGUGGGUCUCCGGAACCCAAAAUCCCGGUUCGAUUCCGGGCGAAGCCUCCA
rnacentral:tRNA from 1 species